UACGUAGGGUGCAAGCGUUAAUCGGAAUUACUGGGCGUAAAGCGUGCGCAGGCGGCUUUGCAAGACAGAUGUGGAAUCCCCGGGCUUAACCUGGGAACUGCAUUUGUGACUGCAAGGCUAGAGUACGGUAGAGGGGGAUGGAAUUCCGCGUGUAGCAGUGAAAUGCGUAGAUAUGCGGAGGAACACCGAUGGCGAAGGCAAUCCCCUGGACCUGUACUGACGCUCAUGCACGAAAGCGUGGGGAGCAAACAGG
rnacentral:rRNA from 1 species